GAACUCAGCGCGUGGGUGUGGGCGCUAUUAAAACAAGACUGAAAGUUUGGGGUGGUUCAUUCACACGGGCUGCUUUUGCUAUGCUAGAAACCCAUUUGUGGCUUUUAAUCUUUUGAAAUCGCUGUGGGAUUUCAAUAUAUAUAAAGCUCAAUGGAUUCCGGUGCUAUGAUGCGUUGCAUCUAUUGGAUUACUAUAUUGAUCGCCACGCUUAUUAAUGGAAUAAACGCGGAUAAAACCCGCUGUCCUAAAUAUGAAUUCUGGAAUGGAGAUGGUGCAGUAUGUGUACCUUGUUCUACAUGCAAACAAUACCCGAAAACUCCAUCAUGUGACACAUGCCCACCCAUAGAGCCUUCGGAUUCCUGGAGGGUGGCAGCAAUUACCAGUUUGUCUGUCCUGGCAGCAGUAAUUGUUUUCGGAGCAUUACUCAUAGGCGUUCUAGUACAUCAAUGCAGGUCCAGGAGGACCUUACGGG